CAAAAAUUGUCAUUAAAGGGUUGUUUGGAUAAAAAAAGAUGAGUUCAAUGAGAGUCAACGCCCCUCUUUUACAACAUGAUGAAUUUCCUGUGAAAUGAAGAGAGGCGGGGCGGUGAUACUAAAAACUAUUGAGGAAGUCAUGGCUGAGACAGGUGUUCCCGUGGUGCUGAAACAUGUCCUCAGAUGUACAGCAGCAGGCUUUGUGUUCGGGCAAGUGGCAUUAUUUGCUGUGUUUCAACCAUCGCUGGUUGAUCAAGCCAUGCUGGGGGCAGCUUCUUUAGCUGCUGCCCAAGCCGGUUCCACUGGUAUAGCUGUGGUGGCAGCAUGCCUUAUGUUCACUUCUGCGAUCUUAUCUUUGGGAAGUGGUUUCCUGCUCGCCGCCUUGGAUCUGAAGCUGCUGACUAAAGCCGGGACGAACCUUCCGUGGGUCACCGAGGUCACAGCAGGAGCUUCUGUGGUCGUGGGCUCCGUCUCAGUCGGACUGCUGCUGAACAUUUUCCCAAUAUGGAUCUACAUUUCAGGACAAGUCGUCUUGGUCCUUAUUGUCUACGCAUACUCUGAUAUCAGCGACAUGACCAAAGCUUUGUUGAUUAUUUUCACUACAUUAUACAUGACCAUAACCUGUGGAAGGAUGGGUGUCAUUUUUGGAUUCCUCAGCUUGAUUUUGAUCAUCGUUUUAAUUUUUGGGAUUCGCAUGACUCUGCCACAGAUUUUCAGACAGAUGCCUCAGUCUAAAUCUGGGUGCAAGUUGUUGGAGAGAAUCUACUUCUACUCUAUUUGUGUGGGGACUCAGGGCUUUUUCUUAGGCCUAGGUGUAAGUGCAACACAGGGUGGUUCAUUGACGGAGCUAACCUCGGUGCUACAGUCAGUCCUGUGGGUGGUGUUCCUAUCGGCGGGCUUACUGGGAGCAGCCCUGGGAAUCGUGGCCAUGGUCGGGCUCGGGCCAGAGGCUGCUGAGAAAUUAUCAGUGGGAGCUGCUCUAGUAUCGUACGUAGCCUUGAGAGUCAUUUCUUUUUGGGGCGUUUUACUGGGGACUCGAGGCAGCACAGGUGGAAUAUUGGGGGUAGCUGCAGCUGCGGGGGUGUCACUCGGAGCUGCGAGCGUUGCAGCGAAACAAGCAUUCGGGUCGAGAAAUGUAACUUUGUUGAAUUUUGCCUCGGUUGCCUUUGGUGUUCUUGUUGCCAUCAAAGGUUUCCCUUUGAAGACAUCUCCACUGACAGCCUCAGAGAUUAUAACUGUAACCCUCGUUGCUGUGGGGGCGUUUGUUCUGGGUGCACCAAAGAGUCCAUUCCAUACUAAAGUAAAGCUACAAAGGGGACUUCUCACUGGGGCAGAGCUAAUUAAAGCUAUCGGCAUGGAGACGAUCACCGUGGCAGCGGCUCCUAUUGGAACAGGGGCACUCGGGGUUGCAGUGUUAGGCACGGCCUCACUGGGGCCACUGGGGUUUGUGGGAGUGUUGACGUCUGUGCUGCUGGCACUGGGAAGUGCUCUAAGUGGAAUGAUAGGAAAAUCAAAUCCUACUGUAAAGACACGCUCUGAGUGAAUCCUAACUCUUAUUUUCAUGAAAAGAAUGGAAUUUUUUUUUUUAAAUCCAUAAGAUGUGUGUUUGAAAAGUAAUUUGUUGUUUUGGUGAUAGUGCUGUUUUUUUUACAUUUACAUCGAUAAUAGAGCUGGGCAAUUAUCGUGAUUCAAGAUAUAUCAAGUUUUCUAUUUUGGCGAUGUAGAAAAUGAUAAUAUUGUCAUAUAUUAAGAUAUAUCUAUAUUUUUACAAUCAGGCGGUACAAAUAACAUCAUACAAGUAUUGGAGUAGAGUAGAGUCAAACAGUGUUCUUUACAAUUUUUCCAUAUUUCUCAGAUAUAUAUUUUAUAGCUUAUUUUGUAUUAGCAGGUGUUGCUGUUUUCCUACAGUAUAUCUCAGAACAGCAUAUAAAGCAGAACUCACUCACACGUGCUGUCUCUUGGAGGAGAAAAAGCCAAAAUUGUCUUCCUAGUUAGACUUUUUUGAGUUUAAAAUAAAGAUUAUGAGAAAAAAUAUUGAGAGGUCCA
rnacentral:lncRNA from 1 species